CUCUUUAUUUCUUCCUACGUAGACUCUGUACACUUUCUUUACCUCUUUUGCGAACUCCCUCAGCUCUCCUUAUUUCUCCAAUAGAACGUGCCAGCGACAAUAAAAGAAGGAAAAAAAAUGCACGACCUCAAAGUCGUUUCCUGUUCUGCGUCUGCUGCUCCCGUUCUCUAUUUCCAUCUCCCAAUUAAACAUGAUCGACGGUAAUAAAGAACGUUGUCCGUUUGUUGCUUCCUUGCUCGGUUUCCAUACCCCACAAAAUCUGCAAUCGAUUCUGCGGAGCUAUUGUCCGUUUGGUGCUUCCGUGCUCGGUUUCCAUAGCCCACAAAAGCUGCAACAGAUUGUUGCUUCCUUGCUCGGUUUCCAUAGGCCACAAAAUCUGCAAUCGAUUCUACGGUGCUGUUGUCUGUUUGGUGCUUCCGUGCUCAGUUUCCAUAGCCCAAAAAAACUACAAUUGAUUGCUGCUCCCGUUCUCUGCUUCCAUAUCCCUCUGGAAUACUCCCAACUCGUAUUGAUUUUGACAUCUAAGAGGCAUAAGAUGGUUUGUAUGUUUCUUCUUAAUUUCUCGGCUUACGAAUUUGAAUUUUAUUGUAGUUCGCGUUCUAUGUUUCCAUAGCCCAUUGAAUUACUCCCACCUCCACUGCUUUUUCAAGGUCUGAAGGAAGCCCACUCUAUUUCUCUGCUUCCAUAGCCCAAUUAAUUUCUCCCACCUCAUACUGAUUUUUUCAUCUAAGAGGCAUAAGAUGGUUUGUAUGUGUCUUCUUAAUUUCUCUACAAUUAGUUAUCAAAUUACAACUUUUAAGAUCUGCUGCUUUGUUCACUUGCAAUAUGUAUUAUAAUUAUUCUCUUUAAUACAUAUGCACACAAAUUUACUCCCUACGUGGAAUGGUACUAAAGGUAGUUGUUCAUUUUACUAAUUAGAUAUUACAAUUUCUUGGUUUGGGAUCCAAUUCUAUAUGUUUGGUAUUAAUCGAAUCUGAUUUUGAUUGUUGGUUAAAGCUUGCCUUUUUUGAUGUUAGGUUCUCAAUACUAUUCUUAAAUUUAUGAUAAGAUAUUCCCAUUGUCUUUUCUAAUACUUACAGUAUGAAUUUUUUCCACCAUUCAACUACAACCUGGGCCUUUAUACUUUACUAGGAUUUCUAAAUUACUGAUCCAAUUUGCAAACAAUUUAACAUGUGCUCUCUUGACAUUGUGUUGAUGCACAAUAAAAAGUCUUCACACUAUGAUGAAACUAUUAGGAAUGCUUUUAGAAAACUAUGGAUGGAAAAAACUAUUAGGAACUUUUUCAUUACUACAAGGUCUAGAAUUUGAGGGGGCAUUGCCUGAUAAAAUGAAUGGCUAUGAUGGAGUAUUCAACAACUACUUUAGCAUAGGUAUGCUCAUUCAAGUUUUAGAUAUUAUUUAAUUUUUUGCAGUUAUGACAUUUGUCUGAGAUGCUUGGGUCCAAUUGUUGGCAGAUUUUGCAAGAACAAUUUUGCACAAGGCAGAUUUGAACAACCUAUCUUUUCUUAUCCCAACUAUAUAGCAUAUGUGACCUAAUUCUGUUCCUUUUAUUAAUUCAUAAUAAUGUGCUAUAGCUUUAAGAAAAUUUAUGACCGGAAUAUGUGAACUUUAAUUAGCCAGAAGUUUGUUAGCCAUAUAGAAAGUUUGUUAGCUUUAAGAAAAUUUAUGACAUUGUGUUGAUGCACAAUAGAAGGUCUUCACACUAUGAUGAAACUAUUAGGAAUGCUUUUAGAAAACUAUGGAUGGAAAAAGCUUACAAAGAUGUCUUGAAGAACAUUGUUUAGAUGCAAAUUUUUUUAGGUUUUUCGUAUUCUUAUUGUUUGUUGAAACUAUGUUCUUUUGAUGGAGUUAUCUUAUGUUUUUAAUGUCUCUGAGUUGUUUCUUUUAAUUACAAAUAGGGUGGCUCAAUUUCAGUCUCUCAGUUUCUUUGCAGCCGAACACAACCAAUAUGAUUUUAUUUUGUCGUCGUAAAAAAUUAAAGGUUCUACAAUCGGUACAUGAACCAACUCCACAACUUCAGAAUUAAAAGUUGCAGGUACCCGAUUCAAAAUUACAAACAUAAUUAUUCAUUGUUAAAUGUUGAAGUAUUGAGAUUUGGCUGAAUUUUUUUGCCAGGUUGCGGCCAGGUAAUCUGCCACGCUCUUUGUUAAAAUUUUCAAUUGAUGCUACAACAUUGGUAUGAUUAUGAUGCUUUACUUUGUUUUUUAGACUCUUUUCAAUUGAUGCUACAACAUUGGUAUGAUUAUGAUGCUUUACUUUGUUUUUUAGACUCUUAGUAUUAGAAAUAAUUUUCGGAACUAUUUCCUAUUAAUGAUCGUCUCCUUUUCUGAUGGCUGUAUUAACAAUAUUAUUCUUCAGACAAAUGAAGGAGAUUUUAUCUCCUUUGAGUGAAGCAAGUUAAUCCAAACUGAAGCAUAAACAUGUCGGGUUAGCCUGCAUUUUGGAGUUUUUCGCAUUCCUGGGAGCUCAUCUCGAUUCCAAGCAAAGAAGUUUUUCCUUUUUACAAUGAGAAUGAAGCCCAGUCAGCAAUUGCAAACACAAAAGAAAGCUUCCAGCUCGCCAUUGUGGAGGUAAUUGAAGCCUGAAUGAUGAAACUACUUCAAGAGUGUUCGGGAACUUAAUAACAUGCGUAUCUAGAAGAAUAUUUCAUAAUUGUGGAAGUUAUGAGUCUCAAAAUGGUCAUAUUCCAGUGAAAUAAAGGACAUGAUUACAUGUGCGUUACUCAUCUUUUAUGAUGCAUUAAUCAAGUUAAGGAUAUGCAUUAAUCAUAACGACUUUCACUUCUCCAAAUGUCACUAUUCAGAUAAUUUUUUUUUUUGAAUCUAAAGUAC